rnacentral:rRNA from 1 species
GAUGAACGCUAGCUACAGGCUUAACACAUGCAAGUCGAGGGGCAGCAUGGUCUUAGCUUGCUAAGGCCGAUGGCGACCGGCGCACGGGUGAGUAACACGUAUCCAACCUGCCGUCUACUCUUGGACAGCCUUCUGAAAGGAAGAUUAAUACAAGAUGGCAUCAUGAGUCCGCAUGUUCACAUGAUUAAAGGUAUUCCGGUAGACGAUGGGGAUGCGUUCCAUUAGAUAGUAGGCGGGGUAACGGCCCACCUAGUCUUCGAUGGAUAGGGGUUCUGAGAGGAAGGUCCCCCACAUUGGAACUGAGACACGGUCCAAACUCCUACGGGAGGCAGCAGUGAGGAAUAUUGGUCAAUGGGCGAGAGCCUGAACCAGCCAAGUAGCGUGAAGGACGACUGCCCUAUGGGUUGUAAACUUCUUUUAUAAAGGAAUAAAGUCGGGUAUGGAUACCCGUUUGCAUGUACUUUAUGGAUAAGAAUCGGCUAACUCCGUG